CGUCUCAGUUCAGAUUGCAGGCUGCAACUCGCCUGCAUGAAGUCGGAAUUGCUGUAAUCGCAGAUCAGCAUGCUGCGGUGAAUACGUUCCCGGGUCUUGUACACACCGCCCGUCACACCAUGGGAGCCGGUAAUACCCGAAGUCAGUAGUCUAACCGCAAGGAGGACGCUGCCGAAGGUAGGAUUGGCGACUGGGGUGAAGUCGUAACAAGGUACC
rnacentral:rRNA from 1 species